GACGAACCGUGCAAACGUUGUUCGGAAUCACUGGGCAUAAAGGGUGCGUAGGCGGCGCGGUAAGUCGGGUGUGAAAUCUUGGAGCUUAACUCCGAAACUGCAUUCGAUACUGCCGUGCUUGAGGACUGGAGAGGAGACUGGAAUUUACGGUGUAGCGGUGAAAUGCGUAGAUAUCGUAAGGAAGACCAGUGGCGAAGGCGGGUCUCUGGACAGUUCCUGACGCUGAGGCACGAAAGCUAGGGGAGCAAACAGG
rnacentral:rRNA from 1 species